CUACUGCACGGGCCUGGCUCAACCCG
rnacentral:snRNA from 1 species